rnacentral:rRNA from 1 species
UACGUAGGGUGCGAGCGUUAAUCGGAAUUACUGGGCGUAAAGGGUGCGCAGGCGGCCGCGCAAGUCGAGUGUGAAAGCCCCGGGCUUAACUUGGGAAUUGCGCUCGAAACUACGUGGCUGGAGUGUGGCAGAGGAAGGUGGAAUUCCACGUGUAGCGGUGAAAUGCGUAGAGAUGUGGAGGAACACCAAUGGCGAAGGCAGCCUUCUGGGCCAACACUGACGCUCAUGCACGAAAGCGUGGGGAGCAAACAGG